rnacentral:lncRNA from 1 species
AUGCUAGGAGCUUGUACUAUCUCUCACAGCAAUCAUCUGCAGGCAUGGUUAAGGGCAGUAGUGCAUAUGAUCAAGGGUCAGGGUGUACCAACUGGGUUCCAGCCCUAGUUCCACUAACAACAUGGCAGUAUGCCAUGGAGCACCUGCAUUCACAGUAUGGAAUGAUACAUAAAGCUUGGAAGAAUGGAAGAAGAGAUCAGAUAUGGGGGAAGAGGUAGGUGGAGGGUGGGGGGCAGGAAAGGAUGUAUACAUCACAACUGAUCAUUUCCUAAUUUUGAUUUUUGAUUUUCCUUUCUUCCUUCUAUAUAUCUUCAGCAAAUGAUCUAGGAAGGAAGAUGGGGCUCCAUGCAAAGAUGUCGCUGACUUCUUGGAGCAAAUUCCACAUCCGCACUUUGUCAUGGUCCAACAUGAGAGAGUCGACCAUAACUAUCUUUCCUGUGCCCUCCCCCUCUAAUGCUAAUGGUUCCAAGAGUUCAGCUGCUAACAACUCUGUAUUCCCUGACUCCUUCCCGAGGGUUACUGACUAAUUACUAUUUGUACAAAUGGAUUCCUUCAUCGACCCUUUUGCUGACCUUGAGGGCAAUGUGGCAGCAUAUACAUGUUGUGGUUUGGUUAUCGUAUAUUUCCCAAGUUCCUUGCGACAUGGGGAGCUUGAUGAUAUAAUCAUAGCAGUUGAAAACUUACAAUAUACAAUACAAUGACAUGAUACAUUUUUUUAUGGAAAUCAAUACAUAUUGCGAUUUGUAUCAUAUCAUGUAUCGUAUAUCUUGAAGUGUAUCUUACAAUGCAUAUAUGAUAUACAAUAUGCGAUAUAACAAUACAACAAUACAUACAUUUUUAACUAUUUUCUAGAAUUUUUAAGAAAAAUCAAAUUAAUUUUUUUUAAAAGAAUUUAUAAUACUAAUUGUUUAAAAUGUACUAAAAGAUUAAAAAUUGAAUAUAAAAAAAAAAGAGACAAAGGUAAGAUUAAUCUUACAUGAAAAGUUGCAUUCUUGUUGUCAAAUGCUAAAUUAAAAGUCAAGUAACUAUUGUAAGAAUUUUUAUUUGAAUGGUUUGAAAUCACCAUCAUUUUCAAUGUCAACGUUCAAACCAUAUUGAAUGGUUUGAAUGUUGACAUUGAAAAUGAUGGUGAUUGGCGAAUAAAAUUUUUUUAGUUAAUAUAUUAGCUUUUUUUUAUUUUGUUUUCAAUGGGGAAGGAAUGAUGACAAACAUGAAAAAGUUGGAACUUUGAAGAUGACAAAGAAAGAUGUAUAUAUAUAUAUAUAUAUAUAUGCAUAUCAACAACACAAUAAGUGCAUAUGCCUAGUUAGAAUUUGGAAAUAAAAAUUAUAGUUAAAAAAUUUAAUAAGUUUAUUUCUAUGGAUUAUGUGAUGAAUUUCUAUAUUAAAGUCAUAUUUUGUUAAUUUGAACUAGUCAAAACACCAAUAUUCCCUUUUUUCAUAUGAUAUGAUAAGAUAUAAUUUAAUUCUUUAGAUCUUACUAUCUUCCAUAAAAGUGAUUAUAUAUUACUUUAUACUUCAUACUUCCAAUAUAUAUAUAUAACUUAUAAUACACAAUACAAAAAAAUAGAAAAACAAGACAUAAAAUGUUUUACUAGUUAACAACCAUGAGUAUAAUGGUAGGUUAACAAGGUGAUCUUCAUGUUGUGGAUCCAAGGUCCCCCCAUGGUAAUGCUAUAUAGAAAGGGUGUGUUCAUGACUGAGAAUUGCGUGUGUAAGGUUAUUGGUCCCACUUCCAUAGGAAGGAUUACCUUGCCCAAUGGCUCAUAGGGCACCCAUCAAGGCCGACCAACUAGUACAAAUUGGGUGGUAGCUCUUCCUUCAUGAGAUAUAUCUAAUCAUUUUCUAGUAAGUACAACAAAAAGAUCAAGCUACCAAGAUCAACCAAGAUUAAUUGGACUUCGAAGUUGGUGACUCUUAACAUGAUGAAGACGAGGGUCCUAAUGGGGAACCUUGACACAAUCAAGGUUGCUUCCAAAGAAGCAUAGGGUGUAAUCAAAACAUGUGGUGAUCCUUAGGUUUAAGCCAAAGAUUUUUUAUCUUAUGGUAGUCUAUUGCCUCGAGGUGUGAAUACUUUGUCUCAAGCCUUCUAGCUAGGCAAUGAGCCCACCAAAAACUAUGGCUAUUAUCACUUUAGAAGCUUCAAGUUGUGGGUUUUGAUGGGUUGUAUCGUUAUUUCUUCUUUUGCUAAACUCCUAGAGAUACUCCUUCUUUAUAAGCUUCUCCAUGAGCUUCUUCAGGCUCCUACAAUCGUCCAUCCAUUACCCUCAUUAUUCAUGGCAUUCAUAGUACCAACUCAAGUCCCGAUACUUCACAUCCCAUGGAAACGAAGCAAAUUUCACAUAUUCCUUCAUCUAUUGGGUUUCUUGCAAGAUCUUCCCAUAGAAAACAUUUAGGGUACUAUAUUCCAUCUUGGGCAUGUUCUAGCAUUUGGUUUCCAUUUGGGAUCAUUUCCUUGAUGCACUAGCCCUUUGAUUUAUUAAUCCAUCCUUAUGUUCCUAAUCCUUUCCUAUUCUCCCAACGAGCCUCCACUCCUCUCUAAUGAUAGUCAAGGCAAUGGACUUGAGGGUUGAAAUCCUCAUGUCUUCCUCUAAGUCAGCAUAGCUUCCGACUUUGGAAAAUAGUCCUUCCAGGGUUGCAAGUGUUUUGUUUGUAAGGGAGCGGUAGAGGCUAGACAUGGAUGGAAGCCCAUUCUUGAAAGCUCCUAUUGUAGCCACUACGCUACAUCCUUCUACUUAAGUGGUCUCCAAGUUAAACUGUCAUAUUGGCUUUGUACAAACUCACUACAAAUUUUUAGCAUCUUGAAUAAGAUAUCUAAGCUUUUCUUUUGCCGAGUCGAAUGCAUAUAUUGGGAAGAAAACAUGACCCCUAGUCCCUCAUUGGGGGGAAGUUUGUGUAACCAAAUUAGGGUUGAUCCCUAAAGGCUUGUUGGAAAGAUCUUGCACAAGAGUCAAUCGUUCCCUUAUUCUAGAAUCAUCAUUUGCCUGUAGUGCAUAAGGUGGUCUAACAGGUUGUCAAUUCCAUCAAACAGGUUAAAUUAAGGCAUGGUGAACUAUGAGGUAGCUUCCUCCCUCAAGAUGUCCCUAGUGAAGGUUUUGAGGUGAUGCCCCGCACAACCUAGACUAUAUUUGGUUCAAUAGCACACUCAAGGAGUGCAUAGUGUUCUUCCGUGAGCCAAAUGCUUGUUCGCCCCUUUUAAGUUUCCCUAAGGGGCCCAGAGUGGCAGCUUCCCCAAGAAACUGGAUGCUAGUUGCUCAUUGAUCUCCUCAGACAAGUGUUCAUUGGGUGAGUGGGGCCUUCGCUUGUUACCUUGUACUCUGCUAGCACUAGUCAUCAAGGGUGGAGCCACCUGGUCCUUCUGAUAUUCCUCUUAACAUCGCUCUAAGGGUGGUAUUUUCCUAGGCUAACAACUCAAUCUGAUUGGUGAGCUUUUCCAUCUGUUGUUAGGUGCACUCACUCCUGUUCUUAGCUUCACAGUCACUCAAUCACAGCCAACCAUUCUUGUCAUGAUUCUAGCAUGGGGUAGUCUUCUUGGAUUCAUCCGUUAUCACGAGUCUAAACCAUCUCUAGCUUUUAGUACAUCCCCAGAUUCCCCACAGACGACCUAUUUUCUGUCAGUACCAUUCCUCCAAUUUUACCCAGACUGGCUCUUUAGAUACUUGCAAAAUAGCAUAUCAUGAAGCCCAAAGGCCCCUGAGGGUUGCAGGGGCUCCAAUGCCAAAGUAGGAGACUGUUUAUAGACAAAGCAGUGAAAACACUGAAUUAGCUUGGAAGAGAAUUUCUUCACCUACCUUUCAUCCAUCGUUAAGUGCUCCUUUUAUAGGGGAAUUCUUAUUGCGGAAGCAAUUGGGUUGCCUGACAAUAGGGUCAGGCUUAAGGUUCCACAACAUUCGUAAUUAAUGGCCAUUAAAUGGGAAAUGAGUACCAAUGGCUUUGUGCUUCUAUAAAUGGGCUCUGGUUUAUAGGUUUGAUGGUGUGGGAGUUCAAUUUGUCUCCUAAAGUCUAUCAAACAGGAAAGCCCCUCCACAGCAGGAUAAGAAAUUAUCUCACCUGUGACCGCACCUUGUAGUAGGAUUACACAACAAACACCUCAUUCUUGGAAGCCUUCCACAAUGUCUCGUCCCCCAUAUCGCUCAGAUUGCGUUGAGUUUAUUCAUUUCAAGAAUGAAUCCGACCCUUUCAAUUCUGAUCAAAGAAAACAUUCCUGCAUCGUAUUCAGCGUCCUCCAGGUCCUUCUCCCAUCGCCCAAAGUUCUUAUGAAUUCUAACAUGAAUUUCUUAAUACCCACUUAAAUAUGUUUCAUUUUCCCCCCUUUUAAGCCUAACAAAUGGCCCUCUUUAAGAAUUCCGAUGCUAUAUACAUAUUCCCCUGAAAUUUCCAAGUAUCGGACCCACCCAUAGCAACAGUUUUUCGUAUUUCCUUCAAGCUACGAUUAGGGCAAUGCUUCAAAGUGGUGGUAGUUCAACAGAACCCUAUAAUGUCCGAAAUGGACGUCAGAAAGAAAUGCAGAAAAACAAAAUUCAUAUACGGAUUUUGACAGUAAAAUCCAGGCUUCAGAGUUUCAUUAAUUUUGCAGCGAGCCAAUUUUUGGAACUUAAAUAUGAAAAUAAAGAAAGUAGACUUACAAUCCCCAUUUUUGUUAAUAGCCUCAGACUGAAUCCGACAACGUUCUUGGGAAAAAUCUACCUCGUCUUCCGCCGAACUUCUGGGUAGCAGUUCCCUCCACCAGACAAUGGAAAAGGAUCCGAUUCCAUUUAGGCCAUGAAGGGCAUUUAAACGUCGUCGUUUUAAUGUCUAAUUUACUAUUUUUAUAUUUUCAAUCAUUAUUUGCCACAUGAAUUUAAGUUUAUAAAAAUUCACUUUUCAAAGGAAGAUAAAGCUUUGAGUUGUGCGUGUAAUGUGUAUUAAGAGCUACUACAUCAAGAAUGUAAAAGGGAAAGCGG